CAAACUCUCCAGGGAAUGUUCAGGGCACAUUUCUGACCUUUUGAAUUGAGGUCGCAGAAUGAAAAUGCCAUUGUUUGUCACAAAAUGUCCUUUGUCAUUGCUGUAAAUGCCUGGGGAAUCAAAGAUCUAAAUCAGAGGGUGCUUUCUUACGCUCUGUGAUUCUGUGCAAGAGGCCUUCAGCAGGGCUGGACUUCCCUCCCAGAAGGGGAGUUUGGUGCUCAGUGGAUCCUGUCAGGUGAGAAGCCGAGACCCAGCAGAUGUGUGUGCGCACAGCGGAACCAGGUACAAGAGGAUCUGAAGCUGGACUUACCUGGAGUCCUGGAACAUGGUGAUCCCAUCUCCACUGGACCUGAGUCAGAAGCCUGCUCUAGAGGAAGCAGGAAGUACAUCUGGUUUUGGUUGGAGACGUUGCAUCCAUUCUAAUAAAGCCAAGAGUCAAACUGAAAUACUGGCUCAGGCUGAGAGGAUAUUCUGCCGUUGUAGUUUUGCUCGGGGCCAUUCGUUUUAAGAAGACUGGAGAGUCAGUUCCAGUUUGUCUUGGGGGACUAAGUUCUUAUCAUGUGGUUUCUACUGGUGGCUUAUUGAGAACACAUGCAGGUACAGCCACGUUUGGGUUUUAUUCCGUGCGGGAUUUCACAAAUGGAAGCUAUGGGUUCCUGGUCUAUUUAUUUUACUCCACAGACAUUUAAGGGGACCCGCUGGGUGCUAGAUGAGUGCGUAGGUACAGAGACAGAAAAAGACGAUGUGAGACCACGUCCAGCCAGUGAGUCUGGAGCAGAAAGUCUGUGGUAGGGGCCAGACAGUUGGAGCCAGUUGGUACUAGACCCUAGCACUAGGCUGGGCGUUGGAGCAUCGGUCUCUGGCACUGAGGUUUGGAGAUGCUGAGUGAGUUCUGGGGGUCAGCCUGCGGCCCCCAGCCCCCAGCAGUGGCUCAUGUCGGAGUCCCGGAGGAACGAAUACCACCCCACUGUCACUUCUUCAGAGGCGAAAGGGGAAGGGCCGGGAUUUGGAAUGAAAAAUGAAAGUUCUUGCCCCACGAAAUGGAAACCGUAGCAGCUGUUUUCAAUUUCCUGCCUAGUAGGCGACAUGCCCACUCCCUCCCUCGGUCUCAUAAACACCUUUCUUUAGAAUUUGGAAACACAGAGGGUGGGGGAAAGGCCA
rnacentral:lncRNA from 1 species